GGUUAAGUGACUAAGCGCAUACGGUGGAUGCCUUGGCAAUCAGAGGCGAUGAAGGGCGUGCUAAUCUGCGAUAAGCUUGGAUGAGUCGAUAAGAGGCGUUUAAUCCAAGAUUUCCGAAUGGGGAAACCCACUAGGUGAAGAACCUAGUAUCAUUUACUGAAUACAUAGGUAAAUGAGGCAAACCGGGAGAACUGAAACAUCUAAGUACCCCGAGGAAAAGAAAUCAACCGAGAUUCUGUAAGUAGCGGCGAGCGAAAGCGGAAGAGCCAGUUAGUGAUAGCAGUUAACUAAGGAGAAUGAGCUGGGAAGCUCAAUCACAGAGGGUGAUAAUCCCGUAUCUUAAAAGUAAAUUGUGGUACUAGGCUAACAACAAGUAGGGCGGGACACGAGAAAUCCUGUUUGAAGAUGGGGGGACCAUCCUCCAAGGCUAAAUACUCCUGAUUGACCGAUAGCGAACCAGUACUGUGAAGGAAAGGCGAAAAGAACCCCUGCGAGGGGAGUGAAAUAGAACCUGAAACCGUAUGCGUACAAGCAGUGGGAGCCCUUCGGGGUGACUGCGUACCUUUUGUAUAAUGGGUCAGCGACUUAUAUUUUGUAGCGAGGUUAACCGAAUAGGGGAGCCGUAGGGAAACCGAGUCUUAACUGGGCGUCGAGUUGCAAGGUAUAGACCCGAAACCCGGUGAUCUAGCCAUGGGCAGGUUGAAGGUUGGGUAACACUAACUGGAGGACCGAACCGACUAAUGUUGAAAAAUUAGCGGAUGACUUGUGGCUGGGGGUG
rnacentral:ncRNA from 1 species